rnacentral:rRNA from 1 species
AGAAUCAACGCUGGCGGCGUGCCUAACACAUGCAAGUCGAACGCGAAAGUGGAGCAAUCCAUGAGUAGAGUGGCAAACGGGUGAGUAACGCGUGGGCGACCUGCCUUUCGAGUGGGGGAUAAACAUUCCGAAAGGGAUGCUAAUACCGCAUAACAUCCUUCGUUUAGAUACGAGGUGAUCAAAGCUGGGAGCAAUCCUGGCGCUUAAAGAGGGGCCCGCGUCCGAUUAGCUAGUUGGUGGGUAAUGGCCUACCAAGGCUCCGAUCGGUAU